rnacentral:misc_RNA from 1 species
UCUAUUUUGUUACACAUUCCUUUUGUAAACUGUUGUUGAGAUGCGAAAAUAAAACAAUUUACAAAAGGAAUGUGUAACAAAAUAGAGAAAAUAACAGCCAAGAAAGCACUUAAACCCUUGUCUAUUCUACUGCUAAUUUUGAAGCUGAUGAACCUUAAACUAUGUGCUGCACUGCUGGUUCCUGUUGAGUUCGCCACUGUCCUCGUUUUAUUGCUUAUUUUCUUGCUUCCAGGAAAUAUACAGCUACCAUGACUCGGGUCAGUAGUAGUGAUCAUGGCCACACCCUUGAAAUCACAAGAUCCAGGGGCCUUCCCUUCCUUCUGGUAGUAGCUAUCAAAUGCAUAAGAAGCGUGGUUCUUCACAUUGUUGGGUUGGUAACAAU